rnacentral:rRNA from 1 species
UACGGAGGGUCCAAGCGUUAUCCGGAAUUACUGGGCGUAAAGAGUUGCGUAGGCGGUUAAGUAAGUGAAUAGUGAAACUGUGUGGCUCAACCAUGCACCCAUUAUUCAACUGCUUUGACUAGAGAGUGGAAGAGGUUGCUAGAAUUCCUAGUGUAGGGGUGAAAUCCGUAGAUAUUAGGAGGAAUACCGAUGGCGUAGGCAGGCAACUGGUCCAUUUCUGACGCUCAGGCACGAAAGCGUGGGGAGCGAUCGGG